rnacentral:misc_RNA from 1 species
AAGUCGUAACAAGGUUUCCGUAGGUGAACCUGCGGAAGGAUCAUUAAAAAAUAAUCCUUUGGAUUAUAAAUCCAUACCCACCUUUUGUGCACUGUAACUUGUCCAUUGCUUUUCUUCCCGGAUUUUUUUCGUCAGAGAGGUCUCUUUCGGGGCUUUGAUGUCGGGAUGCCGGGGAGGAGAGCGAUAUAUCACACACGUUUAUUUUUUACCGAGUCUGAAGUAUAACUUUUUGCGAAAGCAGAAAUUAUUAAAACAACUUUCAACAACGGAUCUCUUGGCUCCC